UCCGGUAGAGCUCUAUAGCUGUUGUAUUUGCACUGUAAUUCAGGGGGCAACUGUUAGCCCAAAUGCUGUCGGUAUCGGUAGCAAAUAGUCACUUUCUGGAUUUAUUUGCCAGUUUUUUAGUGAAGCCUUCUUCCCUCAUUAAAGGAUCAGUUCAACAUCAUUUCUUCGGUGUUCAAUAUAUUCUAUGGCACCUUUUAAAGAUUCUAGUAUUUUGUUUUUCUGGAUCACAUCGGAAUGUCCGUUCAGUUUCUUCGAAACGCUGGUCGAUAAAUUAUUAAUGUUUAAAACAAGUUGUGGCUGUCGGAAACAUCACAAACACCGUUGAAUACCACUGUGUUCCAUCUUCAUCCAUGUUGCUUGCAGUUGGAAUGUUCUGGUCUAAGGUGCAUCUAACCAUUGGAAAGGUUUAUAAGGAAGGCAAUUUUUCAGGAAAAUUUUAUGACAGGUUUUAUGUGGUGUAGCUACUACAGUAAUGCUUUUUUAAAUGGGUCUCUUGAUUGCCUCCCAUAGGAUCUAUAAUUUAAUGAAAGAUUCCUUCAGCAGUGGGAGAAAUGGAUUUUCAGAAAACGCUGACGCCAAAAUUCUUGAAGUUUUUAGUUUGACUUCAGAUCUACACAGCGCGAAGAUUCCAUUGCAUAUUUUUUUAUUUUCUUUUCCUUCACGAUGGAAGUAAACUUUAGAAGGUUCAUGGAACAAGUAGUA
rnacentral:lncRNA from 1 species